rnacentral:lncRNA from 1 species
CAUACGUGUGCUCUUCGGAUAACGAAAGAGGCAUAGGGAAAGAAAUUUUUCAAAAAUCGAACGACGAGACGAUACACGUUUUAGGUGAAAUUAAAUUUAACCAAAAUGAUGGUAAAGGAAAACGAAACGACGGAGUGAAGGAAACGAGAAUACAUUUUUUUUAACGACAAUUUUCGGAGGCUAUAAUAUCUAACGAUAAGUAAGGAUCUCGUGCAUACGAUAUGCAUACACCUCUAUUAAGACGUUAAGAUGAGUAUAAGAAAUUAAUUAAUCAACUAACGAAAAAUUGUUGUAAUCACGUAAGUUUCAGGGUGACAGGGGGGGAGAGAUCCUGAGGUAUUAAUGAAUUUUAAAGGGGGAAAAAAAGAAACGACGAAAUCACGCUGGUGGUGAAAAAAAAAGGGAAAAUUCUUGUCCGAAAAUUGAUUAAACGCGGCGUCUGAGUGAUAAUUAUUAAUAAUACAUACUCAAGUAGCUAUUGGUGACUGCGCGCGGCGUUCGAACGUUUAAAAAAAUUAACGACUCUCUGCAAGUUGGAACAAAAAAUAGAAAAGAGAUAAGAGAGCGUGAGAGAAGAAAAAAAUUACAAGAAAAAAAAAAAACCGCCUCCAAAAUUACCCUGAAAAAUGAUGAAGGAAAAAAAAUGAUACAUACAUAUAUAUGUGUAUAUAUAUAUAUAGGUAUUUCCAUAGACUUUGUCGUGAUUAUUGUAAUAAUUAUUAUUAAUGUCAUGAUUAUAUUUUGAAUUAUAUAUUUUCAUCAUAUUGUAUAACAUUCAUGAUCGUCACGUCGUUAGUUUGUUGAAAAAAUUUAUUUUCGUUCGUCAUUUCCCGCGGUAUAAAUUAUGUAUAAUAAUAUAAAUCCUUCGAAUGUGCAAUCUACAUUUUGGCAUAUAUGUGAGAUAUAAUUGCACCGGAUCUAUCGCACAAAAAAAAAAAUAAAAAUAUUUUUGGCAUUUAGGUAUAAUACAUAUUCUAUAAAUUUCGACUGUUGGGUAGUGGGGACAAAAAGUUUAAGAAAAUUUUUAAAAUGUAAGAAAUUAAAGUAAAUUGAAAAUUUUCGACGAGUCAAAUUUUGUAAAAUGUAUCGCGAGGAAUUAUUGUUACAAUAUAUUAUCAUUAAAUUUAGGAUAUAUUCACUAUUCAUAUCGAACGACGAUAUAUAUAUAUAUAUGUAUAUAUAUAUAUAUAAUAUAUACAAUUAACGAGUAAUAUAAGAAAUUUGAAAUUCGAUGAACAAAAGUAAGGUAGUAAAAGAAAAGAAAAAAUAUGAAAAAAAAAGAAAACACCGAACGGCCUCGUGAAAAAAAAAAUGAGAGGUUAUUAUAAGAUUUGCUCGGGCCGCCGCAAUUGCUGCUGAACGCGUGUAGAAAAAGAAAAAAGCAAAAGACAAAAAAAAAUCAGAUGAUGGAAAAAAAAAUUUAAUAAUAAUAAUAAUAAUAAUAAUAACAAUAACAAUAGUAAUACUAUUAACGAUAAUAUUUAAAAUAUAUGGCUACAAGUACAAAUUACUUCGAUUACGGAGACGUAGGUGUGUAUAUUGAUGUGUGAAAACAAAAGACAAAAAAAAAACCAAAAAAAAAACAAACAAAAAUAAAAACCAUAAGUUAGAAGAAGAAGAAAGAUUGAACUAACGAAUAA